UUGCGGUAAAAAAGCUCGUAGUUGGAUUUCUGUUGGGGGCGACCGGUCCAUACCAUGUAUGCGCAUCUGGUUCGGCCUCGGCAUCCUCUCGAGGCUUGUGCUGCGCUUGAUUGCGUGGCAUUGGUUUCGGGACUUUUACUUUGAGGAAAUUAGAGUGUUCACGGCAGGCUAUCGCCAGAAUACAUUAGCAUGGAAUAAUAAUAUAGGAUUUCGAUUCUAUUUUGUUGGUUUCUAGGAUCGAGAUAAUGAUUAAUAGGGACGAUUGGGGGCAUUUGUAUCAUGAGGUCAGAGGUGGAAUUCUUGGAUUCUCAUGCGACAAACUACUGCGAAAGCAUUUGCCAAGGAUGUUUACAUUGAUCAAGAACGAAAGUAAAGGGAUCGAAGAUGAUUAGAUACCGUCGUAGUCUUUACCAUAAACUAUGCCAACUAGGGAUGAGACCUCGUUCAUUUACGACUGGUUUCGCACCUUAUGAGAUAUCAAAGUUUUUGGGUUCCGGGGGGAGUAUUAUCGCAAGUUAGAAACUUAAAGGAAUUGACGGAAGGGCACCACCAGGAGUGGAGCCUGCGGCUUAAUUUGACUCAACACGGGGAAACUCACCAGGUCCAGACACAAAAAGGAUUGACAGAUUGAUAGCUCUUUCAAGAUAUUGUGGGGUGGUGGUGCAUGG
rnacentral:rRNA from 1 species